AAUGCAGCCCCAAUCGGGCG
rnacentral:snRNA from 1 species